rnacentral:misc_RNA from 1 species
GAUGAAGAACUCAGCGAAAUGCGAUAAGUAAUGUGAAUUGCAGAAUUCAGUGAAUCAUCGAAUCUUUGAACGCACAUUGCGCCCGUCAGUAUUCUGGCGGGCAUGCCUGUUCGAGCGUCAUUACGCCCCUCAAGUCCCCUGUGGACUUGGUGUUGGGGAUCGGCGAGGCUGGUUUUCCAGCACAGCCGUCCCUUAAAUUAAUUGGCGGUCUCGCCGUGGCCCUCCUCUGCGCAGUAGUAAAACACUCGCAACAGGAGCCCGGCGCGGUCCACUGCCGUAAAACCCCCCAACUUUUUAUAGUUGACCUCGAAUCAGGUAGGACUACCCGCUGAACUUAAGCAUAUCAAUAAGCGGAGGA